rnacentral:rRNA from 1 species
GACGAACGCUGGCGGCGUGCUUAACACAUGCAAGUCGAACGGAAAGGCCCUUCGGGGUACUCGAGUGGCGAACGGGUGAGUAACACGUGGGUGAUCUGCCCUGCACUUUGGGAUAAGCCUGGGAAACUGGGUCUAAUACCGAAUAGGACCACGCGCUUCAUGGCGUGUGGUGGAAAGCUUUUGCGGUGUGGGAUGGGCCCGCGGCCUAUCAGCUUGUUGGUGGGGUAAUGGCCCACCAAGGCGACGACUGGUAGCCGGCCUGAGAGGGUGACCGGCCACACUGGGACUGAGAUACGGCCCAGACUCCUACGGGAGGCAGCAGUGGGGAAUAUUGCACAAUGGGCGCAAGCCUGAUGCAGCGACGCCGCGUGAGGGAUGACGGCCUUCGGGUUGUAAACCUCUUUCAAUAGGGACGAAGCGCAAGUGACGGUACCUAUAGAAGAAGCACCGGCCAACUACGUG